rnacentral:rRNA from 1 species
UUUUAUAUGAGAGUUUGAUCCUGGCUCAGGAUGAACGCCGGCGGUGUGCCUAAUACAUGCAAGUCGAACGCGUUGGCCCAACUGAUUGGACGUGCUUGCACGGACUUGACGUUGGUUUACCAGCGAGUGGCGGACGGGUGA